GGAUUAGAUACCCUGGUAGUCCACGCCGUAAACGAUGAGAACUAGCUGUCCGGGCACUUGGUGCUUGGGUGGCGCAGCUAACGCGUUAAGUUCUCCGCCUGGGGAGUACGGCCGCAAGGUUAAAACUCAAAGAAAUUGACGGGGGCCUGCACAAGCGGUGGAGCAUGUGGUUUAAUUCGAAGCAACGCGCAGAACCUUACCAACGUUUGACAUCCCUAUCGCGGUUACCAGAGAUGGUUUCCUUCAGUUCGGCUGGAUAGGUGACAGGUGCUGCAUGGCUGUCGUCAGCUCGUGUCG
rnacentral:rRNA from 1 species